CCUGUGUUUUUCUAGAUGACAUCAGAAUGUGACGUCAUGAGGUUGUGAUGACGCAACAGAAGAACCCAAUACGUAACUUCAUUUGUUCCGUCCCAAUCUUUAUUGAAUAAAAAUAAAUUUUUUAGGGUGUUCAAUAUUUUUAGAAAUAUAGUAUGUGACGUCACAAAGGAUAGAGCGUCGCAUCAAAUACGCAGCAGGAAUAAAGAAAAGCCGGCCAAUAGAGCUGCAGAAAAGAGUUGCCAAGGCGAAGAAAGAAAACGAAGACGCUGAUAAGGAUGUUGGUUUGAGGUUUUGAGUGUUCGAGUUGUGUGUUUGUGUAUAUGUGGGGGUAAAGUUUGGUGCACUCUUACAGUGUUUCCUCUUUGUGCUGGAACUAGUGUUGCCAGCUUUUUAGUCAGUCUCUUCGAUCUGUGUAGUGCAUUUUGCAUGUCACUGAAAUAUAUGCAUUAAAACUACGGCGAACAUAUUUUUGGAUAGAUCAGAUUUUGAUGUUGUACACUCUAUUGUGCGCUUCUCGCAAAGAUCAAAAUCAUUUAGCAAUUGCGUAUUGUCCUGAUCCCUUCUAUAUGUUGAUGCUCGAAUACUCGAGUAAUAUCAACACGCAGUAUAUUACGCGCAUAAGCGUAACGUUGAUUUAUAGUCCAUUUUCUCAAUUUUAUAUUAUAACGAAGUCAAAACUUUAAAUUUAAAAAUUUAAACGUUAUGCAGCGCGAUUGGGACGAUGGCCACGUCACAAUUGCGCUACGACGUCGAUAUGAUGGGCCAGAGCAUUGUCCUGACCCUGCGUUUAGUGCGGUUACCUCAGUUUUGAUCAAGUUGUAUAGUUAACGGUCAUGAUGUUGCGUGGACGUCGCCGCUAGGAAUACUACGCUAUAUAUAUAGAUGGUAAUUUUACUACCAGUAUAGUGAUGCAAGGAUUUGUUGUUUAGUAUUAUAUUGUGUAAAGAGAUGGCGAGAUAACGCGGUACCAACAUGGCGUCUUGCCUGGUGAUUGUGCGGAGCGUUGUUGGCUUCGACUCCUUUUGAUCGGA